CUUAGAGUGAGGGGUGAGUAAAUGCCAUUCAGCUCAGCAGUAUUUAAUGCCACGUAAGGAAGUUUAACUGGAAGCUCUGCUGACGAUGUUAAACAAGAAGACAUUUCCAGAAGUGUCUGUCAAACAAGAUACAAGAGCCUGAAAACGUAUUCCACCAGGCCCAGAGGCAUCUUCUAUUUUGCUGUUGAUGUUCUGUUUCAGCUUUGUGUCGUUUGCAGAAGCCGGCUCUAGUGUCUGCUAUUAAAGGUACCCAAGACUGUGAUCAAGAUUACUCUGGAUCCUUUUGUUUUCCUACUAUUCCAGAAUGUAGGAUGCAGCAUGGAGGCUGCCAGAUGGCAGAACACAUGUAUUCAGCUGAACUAUCGCCAAGGCACCCUAAGGAUACAGCGCUUCAGUUUUUGCAGCUGGUGCAUUGGGGCAGGAGCAGUCACUUCAGCAUUCCCUGAUGUUCCUUGUGGCCGUUAUCUUGGUGCAAUAGUUCAUGUCAUUGAGUUCAUACCCAAUUUUCUGUGUCAACUACCUUAUAGAUCACCAUCCAAUGGCUGUUUAGAGGUGAAUUUCACUGACUGUGGCAGUGAGGAUGGAUUGAGCUGGGUAUUUUGGAAAAGUAGAGUCUCUUCUGGUUGAGAACCAGGCCCUUGCCCAGAAUAAUCCUAUUAUCAGCCAAACAGCUCACUCCAAGAUGUUUCACUUAUUUGACCAUGAAGCCAGAAAGACUAAGGCAAAUAGGACUCAGUUGCUAUUUAAACAUUGGACACUGCUUCGAUGCUUCCUCCACCUCGACCCACCCUUCCCCACCUUAUAGUCUACUCAUCUUUCUGCCAGACUCGCCUCGUGCCCAAUGCAGCUGCAUUUGCAGCUACAUUUAGGACUGCUAUCCUGAAGCCUCAGGAAGCAAGAAAACCAAUUUUACAUGGAUCUGUUUCAGGGCAACAGAUCACACACAGUUGGGCUAAUGUUCGGACAUUUUGCUAGAUCUAUAUGUCUGGGUGCUCAACACCCACCCCUUCUGCCCUCCAAUGGAUUUCAACAUGAUGAAGAAGGACUAAGCUUUGAAUUUGCUCUGAUAAUGUAAUGAGGCAAAGCAAAAAUCCUACUCUGUCAUUGGAAAUUAAGCCUUAAUUUUGAAAAUAUUAAUGCCUUCAAAUACAAAAUGUUAUUAAUGAAGCUACAGUGCUUCUGAAGAAUUAAUUUAAUAUCUGAAAAUAAUUGUUUUUGUUGUACUAAAGUGGCGUUUCCUAAAGCUUAUUCCAAGAGUCUGGUAAAAAAAAUGGAGGAAGAUAAAGAAAAGCAGACUGUUUCCAUGGUAAUUGGUUUAGGUUGAGUCAUGUCUCCGAGUGCAGGAGAGAAUGCUUUUUGCAGAUUUUGUUGGUGGAAUUUACCAGAACGUAGACAUCCUGCAUCCUGAGAAAUGGAAUGUAUCAAAAAAUAUAAAUUCCUUGUCUGGGCUGAGAGAUUCCCCAAGAUAAUCUUUUUUUAGAAUGGCAUUACUUUCUGGAGGGGUAAAUUACAGAGUAUGAACUGAUGACAAUUCCUGCAGAAGCAAAUGAAACACCUAUCAGCCAACACUGACCUUAUAACAAAAUGAUAAAAAAAAAUGCCAGAAAGCCAAGCCAGUUAAAGUCUUGAUUGCUGACUCUGGUUCCUCUGAUGUGGCUGAACCACAUCAACUAUUUUCAGGCCAGCAUCUGUUGCUAGAAAUGUUAACAACUUUAAAACUUCAGGUCACAUCAUAUCAGGGAGUAAAGAUUCUUUUCCGCACCAUUCCUUCAUACCUCUUUCCAUUGUCCUCUUCAAUACCUUUAACUCUAACUCUGGUUUUCUCACUGUUCCCUUCCACUUUACGGACAAAUCAACCUCCGGCAAGGAGUUCUCCUGUUUUAAAGCUACAACGUUCUCCAUUUACUCCCCAUCAUGCCUUUCUCAUCUUCUCCGUGCAACCCACUUCUCAAAAUAUUGAUGCAGCAUCAUUAUGACUGACUACUGACUAUUUCUUCCUAGCUCCACUGCUUGCUGACGGGCACUGUUUAAUCUCACUUUCAAAACAGUCAUCAAUAAAACCCAUCAAAUAUCCACAACAAUGAAUCCUUUGUUAUUGUAGAUGGCUGCUCCAUAUGCAAUAUUUAUUCCCAGUACCCAACAAUAGGCAUGUAAAAUUCUCAUCUUUCAUUGCUUCAACUCAGUUUUGCAACCUGCUUUAGCUCAGCAACCAUGGUACCUGCUUAUGCCACCCAUUUACUUAUCCACCACCCGUCCCCCAUUCACACUAAGAGGCCUCUUUAUUCGCUACUUUCUAUACUUAAUAAAGUGACCAAUGAGGGUAUUUUUGUGAUCUUCUGCUGCUGCUGUAGCCCAUCCCUUGAAGUUUCAAUGUGUUUGGCAUUUAGAGAUGCUCUUCUGCACACCGCUGUUGUAAGGCGCGGUUAUUUGAGUUACUGUAACCUUCCUGUCAGAUUGAACCAGUCUGGCCAUUCUCUCUGGACCUCUCUCAUUAGCUAGGUGUUUUUGAUCACAGAGAUGCUGCUCACUUUUUUUUUGUUUUUCAUACCAUUCUUAGUGAAAUUUGUUUUUUUUUGCGGCAGCAGUACAUUGCAAUACAUAAUAAUAAAAACUAUAAGUUGCAAUAAAAAAAAUAAUAAAGAAAAUUAAAUUAAAUAAGUAGUGCAAGACGAGAGGGGAAAAUACUGAGGCAGCAUUCAUGGGUUCAAUGUCCAGUCAGAAAUAUGAUGGCAAAUGGGAAGAAUCUGUUCCUGAAACAUUGAGUGUGUGGCUUCAGGCUCCUGUACCUCCUCCUCGUUGGUAGCAAUGAGAAGAUGGCAUGUUAUGGGUGAUGGGGGAGGGUCCAUAAUGAUGGACCACAAUUCCAGGAGAUCAGCAGUUUCAGAGAUUCUCAAACCUCCCUGUCUGGCACCAAUAAUCAUUCCAUCGUCAAAGUCACUUAGAUCAUAUUUCUCCCCAUUCUGAUGUAUGUGCUGAACAACAAGUGAACCUCUUGACCAUAUUUGCAUGCUUUUAUGCAUUGAUUUGCUGCCACGUGAUCGGCUGAUUAGAUAUUUGCAUUAACAAGCAAGUGUACAGGUGUGCAUAAUGAAGUGGCCGCUGAGUAUAGCUGGUCAAAUACGUAUCUCCAUUUGAUCCAUGCCUAAUGGCUAUGCUUCAACUUCCUCAGCUCUACACUGUGGAAUUCCAUGCACUGGCCAUCCCAUAUGACCACUUCGUUAAUAAAACUGUAAAUAACUUAUUCAAAGCUUAAAAGUUUAAAGGAAAUUUAAUAUCAAAGUACAUAUACAUCACUAUAUACAACCCUGACAUUCAUUUUCUUGUGAGAAUUCAUAGUAAGUAGAAAGAAACACAACAGGAUCAAUGAAAAAACCCACAUGACACCCAAUGUGCAAAAGACAACCAACUCUGCAAAUACAAAAAGAAAAUAAAAAUAAUAAAUAAACAAUAAAUAUUGAAAAAAUGAGUUGUAAGGAACUUAAGUAGGUUGUGGAAUCAGUUCAGUGUUGGAGUAAUUGAAGUUAUUCCUCUCUGGUUCAAAAGCCUGAUGGUUGAGGGGUAAUAACUGUUUGUGGACAUGGUGUGGAACCUAAGGAUACUGCACUUCCUUCUUGACGUGAGAAGAGAGCAAGGCCUGGAUGGUGGGAGUCCUUGAUGAUGGAUGCUGUUUUCCUGCAACAGUUCUCCUUGUUGAUGUGUACUGUGAUGGACUGGACUGUAUCCAUUUUUUUCUGUAAUUUUUUUCCAUUCAAGUGCAUUGGUGUUCCCAUACCAGGCCACGAUGCAACCAGUCGGUAUACUCUCCACCAUGCUUCUACAGAAAUUUGUCAAGGUUUUAGAUGACAUUCCAAAUUUGCACAUGCUCCUUGCUGUGCCAUCUUUUAUAAGCUGGACCCAGGACAGAUCCUCCGAAAUGGUAAAGUCGAGGAAUUUAAUGUUGCUGACUCUCUCCAGCUCAGAUCCCCUGAUGAGGACUGGCUCAUGAAGUCCUGACGAAGGGUCUCGGCCUGAAACGUCGACUGCACCUCUUCCUAUAGAUGCUGCCUGGCCUGCUGCGUUCACCAGCAACUUUGAUGUGUGUUGUUUUCUGGCUCAUGAACCUUUGGUUUCCUCCACAUGUAAUCAAUAAGCAGGUCUUUGGUUUUGCUGAUGUUAAGUGAGAAGUUAUUGUUGUGGCACCAUUCACAAAACCUUCUUUGGGCUCCUUAACCAAAUAUGUCAUUGCUAUCGAUUAUGCUUUUGUGAAGCACCUUUGAUGUUUUAUAUAUGUGGAGAUGUUAUAUAAAUGUAAAUUGCAAAAGAUUUAUUUUUUAUUUUAUGUUUUAAAAUACUAUGUGAGCCAGUCUAUAAUACAUUGGCCAUAAGUAGAGUAAAAUAAACUUA